rnacentral:rRNA from 1 species
GGCGGGGGCGGCUGGUUGGGCCUGUCAAGGGUCUGUACUGAUGCUGGCUCCCGUCAUCCUCGGGGAGAGCGGCUCUGGCAUUAAGUUGUUGGGGUCGGGAUCCUCGUCUUUUACUGUGAAAAAAUUAGAGUGUUCAAAGCAGGCUUAGGCCCUGAAUACAUUAGCAUGGAAUAAUAAGAUAUGACCUUGGUGGUCUAUUUUGUUGGUUUGCACGCCAAGGUA